rnacentral:rRNA from 1 species
GAUGAACGCUGGCGGCGUGCUUAACACAUGCAAGUCGAACGGAAAGGCUCCUGCUUGCUGGGGUACUCGAGUGGCGAACGGGUGAGUAACACGUGGGUGAUCUGCCCUGCACUUCGGGAUAAGCCUGGGAAACUGGGUCUAAUACCGGAUAGGACCACAUUUUGGAUGGUGUGGUGGAAAGUUUUUCGGUGUGGGAUGAGCUCGCGGCCUAUCAGCUUGUUGGUGGGGUAAUGGCCUACCAAGGCGUCGACGGGUAGCCGGCCUGAGAGGGUGUACGGCCACAUUGGGACUGAGAUACGGCCCAGACUCCUACGGGAGGCAGCAGUGGGGAAUAUUGCACAAUGGGCGCAAGCCUGAUGCAGCGACGCCGCGUGGGGGAUGACGGCCUUCGGGUUGUAAACUCCUUUCGCUAGGGACGAAGCGCAAGUGACGGUACCUGGAGAAGAAGCACCAGCUAACUACGUG